rnacentral:rRNA from 1 species
UACGUAGGUGGCAAGCGUUGUCCGGAAUUAUUGGGCGUAAAGCGCGCGCAGGCGGUCCUUUAAGUCUGAUGUGAAAGCCCACGGCUCAACCGUGGAGGGUCAUUGGAAACUGGGGGACUUGAGUGCAGGAGAGAAGAGUGGAAUUCCACGUGUAGCGGUGAAAUGCGUAGAUAUUGGGAGGAACACCAGUGGCGAAGGCGGCUCACUGGACCGGUACUGACGCUGAUGCGCGAAAGCGUGGGGAGCAAACGGG